GACGGAGGGUGCAAGCGUUGUUCGGAAUCACUGGGCGUAAAGGGUGCGUAGGCGGGUUUUUAAGUCAGGGGUGAAAUCCUGGAGCUCAACUCCAGAACUGCCUUUGAUACUGAAGAUCUUGAGUCCGGGAGAGGUGAGUGGAACUGCGAGUGUAGAGGUGAAAUUCGUAGAUAUUCGCAAGAACACCAGUGGCGAAGGCGGCUCACUGGCCCGGUACUGACGCUGAGGCACGAAAGCGUGGGGAGCAAACAGG
rnacentral:rRNA from 1 species